UUUAAAUUGGAUGCGAUCCACCAACCUAAUCCCAAGACCAAUCACUGACGAAGGAUUGAGUGGUUUUGUUGGAGUCGGAGCGAGCUCGGGAUAAUAGAGUCCCUUGAGAUGGCAAGAAUGUCAUGUAUGUUAGAAGUGCAAUAUUAUCAUAAGGAGACGUAUACUUGGAAUAUGGAGGAGAAAUGGAGGGGAACAAGAGGCAGAGGAGGUCGCAGAGAGAGGGAGGAAGAGGGGGAGCUUGAAUUCAUAAAAAAAGAAAAUGGCUGGAAAAAAGUGAGAUGGUUUGUUGAAGAAGAAUGUGUAAGCAGAGUGAGCCGUACACCAAAUCGAGGUCUGGAGGAGAAAUGGAAGUGAAUGAGGGCGAAUUAUCGGAGGUGGCAGGUGUGAAGUUCUGAGCUCAAGGCUUGCACCGAUGGUCAGGAUAAAGAUGAGUCUGGCAGUAGGAGUGACAUUUUUGGAGGAAGUGGACCCCUGUUUUUUGACUGAUCCAUUUGUGGUUUCAGGGUGGGUGAAAACAGAGUCGGGUGCUGUGGAAUCGGAGAAGAGUGAGCUGCCUGAAGCUGAGCAAGAUAAUGGAGGAUCAACAGAGUCGGUGAAAGAAAAAGAAAUGAAGUCAGAUUUAGCCCUUCAGAGUCUGCACGAGAAUACAACCAACACUGGGACUUAGCUACUCCUUAAAUCAGGGGUGGGCAUUUCCAGACCUCGAGGGCCUGAUUAGUGUCACAGUUUUGCCCCAGCUAACACACCUGACUUCAAUAAUCACCUAAUCAUGAUCUUUAGUUUAGAAUGCAAUUUGAUUAAUCAGCUGUGUUUGCUAGGGAUGGAGAAAAAGUGACCCCAAUCAGGCCCUCGAGGAGUUGCCCACCCCUGCCGUAAAUGGAUGCUGUGCCUUUUCCAAUGUACCCGUGGUUGAACAGUUGUCUGUUUCCUGUAGUCUUACGAUUGUCAAAAUAAAAUUAUUGACCUGG